rnacentral:lncRNA from 1 species
ACAUAACCUCCAUAUUAGAGAAGCUUAACUGGUGUGGUAUGAGAAUGCUACCAUAACAGUAGCACCAAUUGAAAAAGAAUGCUAUAAAAGGUAACAAUUGGAAAAUAAACGCUAUUCCAAAUAAAAUCUCAAUAUUCGAGAAGCUCAGCCCCUCUAAUAGGAUGAAAUAUAGGGAAAAUUACAAAAAAAAACAAAAAGAACCCCAAAACUACACUUUUUAUGCAACUUACCCCCAACGUAACAUUUUCUCACUUUCUUCCUCAAAAUACACUUGCUAUGCAAGUACCUCUCCAACAAAAUAAAAAAUAAAAAAAUGACUAAACUACCCUCCCUUACUUUUACGACAGUAGGGCUCCAACACUUUAUUACGACAGUAGGGCUCCAGCACUGUAUAAAGUCCGAUCCGGCAACUCUGGUACUAUGUAAAAGGCGGUCCGGCGGUACUCAGUUUCGGCAAGUCCGUUAGUUGUCUUAGGGUGGUCCGACGGUCCAUUAAUAAAUGUUACUGGAUUCCAAUGCUCUGGUACUAUAUAAAAGGUAGUCCGGCAUUACUCAGUUUCGGUCCAGUAGUUGUCUUAGGGCGGUCCGGCAUUUGUGCGCUCCGACAAUGUGAUGGUGUGCUCCGCUAAUGUGCCACUGGGGUCCAAAAGUCAACGUCGAAUCUGGCCAAAAUGAUUUUUGUGUAAAAGCAUUUCCAUCUAAAAAAAUGAAUUUUUUCUCUUGAAGGGUUAUUUGGUUGGGGGUAAGUUGCAUAGAAAAUAUGGUCUUGGGGGUUUUUGUAAUUUUUCCCUGAAGGCUCCAUAAGCUAGCAGCUAAAGCAUGUCUAGCCAGUUCAUGUGGAACUAACAUAUGGUACUUCCCAUGUACAACCAGACGAGGUAAGGUGUAGAGAUGCCCCCUUACCUCUAAGAAUACACAGAUAUUUGUUGCUGUGAUACCUUAGAUGGCAGCUAGUGUGUUAUUUCCUAAGUCCGACCAUCUCGAAAGUUAAAUGGCAGAAUCUUCUAUUAUAAUAUUUAACUGUUUUGAUGAUUGUCUCGAGGAUCAAAUAUGGCCAGAUGCAAAACAUGGACAGCAAGAUCAUAUCAUACAAAGUUACAAACAACCUCCAUAUUUAGAAGCACAUAAUCAGCUACUAAGCACAUAAUCAGCUACAGCAAUAAUUAUGCCACCAGGUUUAUCAUUUGCAGGACAUCUGAAAAAUGAAAAUUAACAGUGACAGCUCCCAAAGCCUCUAUAAAAACCCACUUCAGGAAAGCAGUUGGAGAGAGUUCAUGGAGAGCAGUGAAACAACCAUAGGGAAAAUCCAAAGAAACGGUAUUGGAAAGAAAGGUUCUUACCAACUCCCAUAAAAAGUUAAGGUUUAAUAUGGCUUAAGCCCAUUUCUAUGGACUUAAAACUCAAUAGGAGAGAGUUCCAUACUUCAAACAAAAUUUAUUAAAACCACAUGACAAACAAUAUCAGGGAACAAGGUCGUAUAACUUGAAAGUGGAAAAAUGGAAGGUCAGAAAUGGUUCAAACUACAACAAGCUCCUUUCUAUUGAAGGACUGAUAAAAGAAAAUAAGUCAGAACUAAGAAGACAUGUGAUCCAUCAAAAAUGCUUCUUUGUUUUGACCUGUAAGUGAUAAGCUUUAAGUUAGAUACCAUUCAAACUGCGACUGGUUCCUUCUAAAUCAGGGAUUGAACAUAAAAAAGGAUUGACUUCUAAUUCUCCAGAAUACAUUUCUUCCAAGGAAAUCACAACAUGUUAACACCAGAAAUGAGGAAGGUAAAAGUGAAACAUAUGAUGCAAAAGAGUUGUUUCAAACAGGAAAGAGAACAACUCUCUGCAAAAAAUAAAUGAAACAACAACCAAUGCCCAUGUAGUCACUAUGCCUUCAAAUGAGACUUGUACCCACCAAUUCUCGUGUAGUCGCUAAACAUCUAUAUGCUUUUAGAAUACAGGAGAAUGAAAGUUCACCCUUGGGAGAUAAAGAUCCCAAAUGACAUUGAAUUAAACAAUUGGAACUUUUGUUCGAAAUGAAGUAAGACCCUAGUUAGCAAAUCACCAUUUAAUUGACGAUUUUUUAAAAAAUUCAGGGUUUUUAUGGAAACAGUUUUAAACGGCAACUUUUUGAAAAGGUCGGAAAAAAUCUCUUAGUUUCAUAAAAACGUUUAAAACACGUUUUUUUCAUAAUACGAUUUAAAUCAGGCCAAAAUAUCGUAUCUUUUUUUACCUAUAAUUUUUUUGAAAGUUUUUUUUUUUUUCUGUUUUGUAUAUUGCAACCAGCUAUUUUCAUGAUUUUGAAAAAAAAAAUAUUAUUUCAUAAAAAAAUCUAAAAUAGAAAUUUUUAUCCCUACUAUGUUCUUCAAAGCCACAAUUGCAGAAUGAAGGUAUGAAUUUUUUUUCCCUUUUUUUAAAAAACUUAAACAAAUAGAUGCAGAUUUCAGCUGUUAUUAUGGAAAAUCAUUGUGUAAAUGAAAUACUGUUUAUAGCAAAUCAUUUUGUAAAGUAAAUCAUUAUGUAAAAAAAAUCAUAUACAUGCAAAUUUCUGUGAUUAUUUGUGAUAAUUGUUUUUAUGAGAAUACUGUUUAUGGCACAAAUUAGAGCUCAAAACAUAGUCUUUUACUGAUGAAUGAGAAGCAAAGAGUGUGACUACAUGACCAAGUAAUCAAUAUUUUGUUUUUGAUUAUGUGAUAACAAAGGUAAACAAAUAGUGUAAACUGUAAACUUACAGGAGCAAGCAAUUGUACUAUAAACUUGCAAGAGACAAUAUAGUGUAAACCAUAAACUUACAGGAGCAAGCAAUUGUACUGUAAACUUACAGGAGCAAGCAAUUGUACUGUAAACUUGGAGGAGCAAGCAAUUGUACAUAUAGGAUUAGUUCCCCAAACCUAAUCCUUCAGCUCUGCUUGUUCUUUCCCCAAGAAAAUGAAAAACCCGCUUCUUUUUCUCUCUCUAAAAAUCCGUUAGGGCCUUUUCACAAAUAGUACAGUUAGGGCCUUCUUUGAAACAACAUCCCAAAUCCCAAAUCAGAGAGAAACACUCUCUUCAAACUAUCGCAAAUCAGCAUCCCAACUUCAUUUUCUCUCUCUAAAAAUCAAUUAGGGCCAUGAGCCAUGAGCAUUAUUUCCUUCUCUUCCAUCUUCCUUCUUUCUCUCUAAACCGUAAACACAAAAUUGUGAAACCCAAAUUUGUACGAGCCUCUUUUCAAUUAAAAAUUUUUAUAGAAGUUUAACCAGAGUUAUGGAGCGACCAUAUUCACCAUAAUAUAAUUAAAUCAUUGUAAUGAGAAAACAAAAAUCGUGUGUUUUUU